ACAUUUCUAUUGUUAACUAAAGACGCCUCAUCUUUACUCUAGCAAACUCAAAAGCUGGGUUUCUACACAGUACAAUACUAAGGAAACUACAAACGGCGAGAGGAGGACUGCAAUCACCCGCGUCCUGAAUUUCAGUGAUCAGCAGAAUACUUUGCUUGAGAUUUUGAUGUGCUCGGCGGGAGCCUCACUCCUCAGUGACCAGUCAGCUGUGAAACACUUAAACACGCGGAGGAAAUAAAAACAAAUCGCAUCCAGCAAGUUUCUGAGCAGCCCCCCUCAGCACCAGCCUCCGCCCUGGUGGGAGUCACAGCUUGGCGAGAGGGUGCAGAGGAAUCUGUUCCAACCUAGUGGCUGCCAUCGCUGCACGAGAUUUCCAGUGAGAGAGGUGGCUUGGCACAGCACGCGCCAGUGCGGCGCUCGCUGUCAGUGAGAACGCCCAGUCUGUAAGCAGAGAGAUGUGCUGAGCACCAAGCUACAGAGAGUGAGUUAAGAGCUUCGGGUGGUGGAGGUGUCUGAAGAUCUGGCACCGAUUGUUCCUCAGCGUGGAAUAGGGGAGGCUGUCCUGGCUGAGAGGGCAACCCCAGUGUGUAAGUGGUGUCAGUCUGUGGCCCUG